rnacentral:rRNA from 1 species
UCCAGACUCCUACGGGAGGCAGCAGUGAGGAAUAUUGGUCAAUGGCCGAGAGGCUGAACCAGCCAAGUCGCGUGAGGGAAGACGGCCCUACGGGUUGUAAACCUCUUUUGUCGAGGAGCAAAGUGAACCACGUGUGGUUCAUUGAGAGUACCCGAAGAAAAAGCAUCGGCUAACUCCGUGCCAGCAGCCGCGGUAAUACGGAGGAUGCGAGCGUUAUCCGGAUUUAUUGGGUUUAAAGGGUGCGUAGGCGGACUGGAAAGUCAGCGGUAAAAUCGAGAGGCUCAACCUCUUUCCGCCGUUGAAACUGUCGGUCUUGAGUGGGCGAGAAGUAUGCGGAAUGCGUGGUGUAGCGGUGAAAUGCAUAGAUAUCACGCAGAACUCCGAUUGCGAAGGCAGCAUACCGGCGCCCGACUGACGCUGAGGCACGAAAGCGUGGGUAUCGAACAGGAUUAGAUACCCGGGUA